GACGAACGCUGGCGGCGUGCCUAACACAUGCAAGUCGAACGGAGAUUCAGAUGAAGCUUGCGAUUCUGAAUCUUAGUGGCGGACGGGUGAGUAACGCGUGGGUAAUCUGCCCUUAAGUGGGGGAUAACAGUCGGAAACGACUGCUAAUACCGCAUAAGCUGGCGGGAACACAUGUUUCUGUCAGGAAAGGUGGCCUCUUAACAAUGCUACCGCUUAAGGAUGAGCCCGCGUCUGAUUAGCUAGUAGGUGGGGUAAUGGCCUACCUAGGCGACGAUCAGUAGCCGGCCUGAGAGGGUGUACGGCCACACUGGAACUGAGACACGGUCCAGACUCCUACGGGAGGCAGCAGUGAGGAAUAUUGGUCAAUGGGCGCAAGCCUGAACCAGCCAUCCCGCGUGCAGGAAGAAGGCGCUAUGCGUUGUAAACUGCUUUUGCAGGGACGAAAACUCCGACGUGUCGGGGCUUGACUGUACCUGUGAAUAAGC
rnacentral:rRNA from 1 species